GUGAUGACAGCGCCCAGGGCUCUGAUGUGUCUCUCACGGCUCCUCAAGUGUGAGACCAGCUGCCUGGUGGGGACUGAGUGAUGCAAGAUGUGUUCACACUCCCACUUGGUGACAUCAACAACCCCUGACUUCUCUUUCUGCAAAAGGUGCCAGAUGUGUCUGUGUUCCUAUGAGUACAACGUGAGGACAUGAGGAGAUUUGCCCACCCUGCCCACCACGACCCCUCCCUAUGCUGAUCUGCAUUCUCUUCCCUGAUGUGCUUUCCUGUUCCAGCAGAGGCAGGCCUGGACCAUCUCCAUCCCUGUCUUUAUUUCACGUUGGGCUGAGUACUAAUGACUUAUUUCCCUAUUGGAAAUUAGAAUCCAGAUAUAAGUUUUGUUUCCUAAUUCUUGGCUUGUGGGGCUGAUGAGGUAAUAAAAGAGGAAAUUUGUAAAGUUGA